AUUGAACGCUGGCGGCAGGCCUAACACAUGCAAGUCGAGCGGGGUUUUCGGACCUAGCGGCGGACGGGUGAGUAAUGCGUAGGAAGCUACCCGAUAGAGGGGGAUACCAGUUGGAAACGACUGUUAAUACCGCAUAAUGUCUACGGACCAAAGUGUGGGACCUUCGGGCCACAUGCUAUCGGAUGCGCCUACGUGGGAUUAGCUAGUUGGUGAGGUAAUGGCUCACCAAGGCGACGAUCCCUAGCUGGUUUGAGAGGAUGAUCAGCCACACUGGAACUGAGACACGGUCCAGACUCCUACGGGAGGCAGCAGUGGGGAAUAUUGGACAAUGGGCGCAAGCCUGAUCCAGCCAUGCCGCGUGUGUGAAGAAGGCCUUCGGGUUGUAAAGCACUUUCAGUAAGGAGGAAGGGUUGUGUGUUAAUAGUAUACAGCUUUGACGUUACUUACAGAAGAAGCACCGGCUAACUCUGUGCCAGCCGCCGCCGUAAAAC
rnacentral:rRNA from 1 species